rnacentral:rRNA from 1 species
UACAGAGGGUGCGAGCGUUGCCCGGAAUCACUGGGCGUAAAGGGCGCGUAGGUGGCUUGCCAAGCGUGUGGUGAAAGCCCGGAGCUCAACUCCGGGUCUGCCAUGCGAACUGGCAGGCUUGAGCACGGUAGAGGCCAAUGGAAUUCCGGGUGUAGCGGUGGAAUGCGUAGAGAUCCGGAAGAACACCGGUGGCGAAGGCGGUUGGCUGGGCCGUAGCUGACACUGAGGCGCGACAGCGUGGGGAGCAAACAGG